rnacentral:rRNA from 1 species
AUUGAACGCUGGCGGCAGGCCUAACACAUGCAAGUCGAGCGGUAGAGAGAAGCUUGCUUCUCUUGAGAGCGGCGGACGGGUGAGUAAUGCCUAGGAAUCUGCCUGGUAGUGGGGGAUAACGUUCGGAAACGGACGCUAAUACCGCAUACGUCCUACGGGAGAAAGCAGGGGACCUUCGGGCCUUGCGCUAUCAGAUGAGCCUAGGUCGGAUUAGCUAGUUGGUGAGGUAAUGGCUCACCAAGGCGACGAUCCGUAACUGGUCUGAGAGGAUGAUCAGUCACACUGGAACUGAGACACGGGCCAGACGCCUACGGGAGGCAGCAGUGGGGAAUAUUGGAAAAUGGGCGAAAGCCUGAUCCAGCCAUGCCGCGUGUGUGAAGAAGGUCUUCGGAUUGUAAAGCACUUUAAGUUGGGAGGAAGGGUUGUAGAUUAAUACGCUGCAAUUUUGACGUUACCGACAGAAUAAGCACCGGCUAACUCUGUGCCAGCCGCCGCCGUAA